GCCGCCGCCACCCCUGUCCAUUCCCUACCUUUCUUCCUCGGUAUCCCCUUAUUCCUCCCAGAUCCAAUCCACCAGCCACUGCUCUCCAUCGCAUCACAACAUCGACCAACCACCGCACAGCCAGCCACCUCCCUGACCCAGCGCUCGAUCCAGAUGGGAUUGAGGCAACCACCGGUGUCCUCCUCGACGCCUCCCCUCGCGUUGUGCCGCCAGCCUCCUCUCCGGCCAGUCCCGUCCCCUGCUCCUACCCUUCGCCAUGGCCGCCCUGAGCUCCAGCCAUGGACAGCCGCUGCCGGAGCUCGUCUUCCCCGCCGUCGGCUAGAGCCCUAGGCCAGUGACCCAAGCCUCUUCCUUCCUUCCCUUUUCCCUCACGCACUCUCUUCCUCCUCCAUGACCUCUCUAUCUUCCUUGACGCCAUGGAAAGGAGCACUCAACCGUGGUACAGUCGACUCCGGUCCGUCCAGCGACCUCCGUGCCUCGUCGCCGAUCAGAUUCGUGCCUCCUCCGUCGUUUCCCACGCCGGACCCCGCUACUGCCUCCCCUGCUUCUGCUGCGCGAGGACGACGACGCAUCCAGCAAGCGCCCGCUCAUCCCAGCCACGUUGACCGCCUCCCUCCGAACUCACCGGCGUCACCACGGAGCUUCCCCGACCUCUCCUUCACUCUGACCCACGUCUCUGGUGGCCUUGUCGUCGUCGUCACCUAGGAGCUCGUCCGUUUCCCGAGAUCUCCACCGACCGCGCCCUUCGACGGGAACCACGUCGUCCGGCUCGUCCCGCCUCCUGCGGGCCUCCCCGUCGCCUGCCGGAGUUCCUGCUGCCGCCAUCGUCGUUCGAGGCUAGUGCCUCUGCUUCGAACCAGGGUGCCGACGCCUCCAGCGCCUGCGUUGACCGAGCACAGCCUAGCCGACCCAGUUCGCCUCUGCCUCACAGGGCCAAGCCCAUGGGUGAGCAGCCCCCUCCAACCCCUCUCCUGUGCUAUUUGGCCCAGACAGAUUUGGCCCAUUCUUGUUUUUUCCCGUUCCAGCGAAUUUAGCAUUAUUCCAGGAAUUACAGAAUUGCAGAAAACCCCUCAGACAUCAUGAAUAUAAUAACUAAUUAACCAUGCAUCGGAUUAAAAUAUUUUACAUAUGUAAAAUGCUUAGAAUUUUAUGUAGAUUAAUAAUUUGCCACUUUCAUCCAUGUUAAAAAUAUUUAAAUUGUUGUUUGCAUUUAUUUUGCAUAAUGUCAUGCUAAAAUAAUUUAUUUCCUAACUAAACAACCGUAGCUCCGAAUUAAAUAAACUUCAUAUGUAAAUGGGGUAGAAAAAUGCGUAGAUUAACUUGGUGCACUUAUUUUGGAUGUUUAUCAACAAUAAAAUAUGGUUUAGGGCAGAACAGUACCAAACUCGAAAAAUGCAUAUGAGGAUUUUCCGGAAUUGUUGUUUGUUAUUUCCGGCCUAAUUUAAACUUGCCUAAACAGGUAGUUUACUCAUGCUUCACCUCUUGCCAUGUUAACCAACAUUUAAUAUUGAUGAGUAGCUAAACGAGAAUGAACUAAAUAAUUGUUGUGCAUAUUGAGCUGCACUUAAUUUGUUUUAUUGUUUGUUGCACCUUGCCAUGCCAUGAAUCAUUAAACCGGACAUGCAUCACACUCGAUUGUGCAUCAUGCCAUGUUUAUGUGAUGAUCAUUUACUAUGUUGUUUGCUUCUUUCCGGUUGCGUUUCUCCUUGAUAGUUCCGGUUAUGUUGCGAUUUUGAGGAUCCGUCCGAGUACGUUGGUUCGUCUACUUCAUGGAUUCGGUCUUCUUCCUAGCGGGAUUUCAGGCAAGAUGACUGUCACCUUGGAUCCCACGACUGAGACGAGAUACGCGCGGCUACUAUCAGGGUGUCGGCACGUCGAGAGGUCUUGAUAGACUUGUUUUACCAUUGUCGAAAUGUCUUGUGCAUCGGGAUUCCGAGUCUGAUCGGAGGGUCCCGAGAUGGAGGAUUGUCUUCGCAGAUCGUGAGCUUGUCAUGGGCUAAGUUGGGACACCCCUGCAGGGUUUAAACUUCCGAGAGCCGUGCCCGCGUUUAUGUGGCAGAUGGGAAUUUUUAAUAUCUGGUUGUAGAGAACUUGACACCAGACCUGAAAUAAAAUACACCAAUUGCGUGCGUAACCGUGACGGUCUCUUUUCGAGUGAGUCGAGAAGAGAACACGGUGGGGUUAUGUUUGAACGUAAGUAGUUCAGGAUCACUUCUUGAUCAUUACUAGUUUGCGACCGAUUGCAUAGUUUCUCAUCUCACUCUUGUACUCGUAAGUUAGCCACCAUACAAAUGCUUAGUCGCUUGAUGCGACCUCACCACUUAUCCAUUCCAUUCCCACGAAGUUUGCUAGUCUUGCUACCCAUGGUAAUGGGAUUUCUGAGUCCUUGUGGCUCACAGAUUACUACAACAACAGUUGCAGGUACAGGUAAUGCGGUGAUCUCACGUGAGAGCGAGGCUUGAUUGCUUUUGGAGUUCUUCUUCUUCGAUCAAGGGAUAGGUUCCGGGUCGAGGAGCCUGGGCUAGCAGGGUGGAUGUCGUUCUUCCAUUUCGUUUGAUUUCAUACGUAGUCGGAUCCUGCUCUUCUGUAUGACGAUUGCUAUGUAUUGAUGAACUAUUGUAUUCAUGAUGUAGCUUGUGGCGAGUGUAAGCCUUUAUCUUGUAUUCUCACCUAUUCAGUACAUGGUAUGUGUAAUAAUAUCCACCUUGCUAUGCGCUCGAAAUGCGGUUGUGCCUCAAUCAUGAAUUCAUCACGUGAUUGGGAUAGAAUCGCAUCUUGGGUGUUACACCUGAGCACAGAUGCCGUGCCAGUCCUUAAUCAUGAGGCGGUCGUGGGUCGGCUCACAAGGGCAUACGACCUUCAUGGCGAUGAAGCACCGGGCAAACAGACGAUAAUCAUAAAGCAACUCAUGGAGUAAGGUAAAGCCAGUUCUGAUAGACGCAAGAAG
rnacentral:rRNA from 1 species